AGAACUUAGCAGAGAUGCUUUGGUGCCUUCGGGAACUCUGAGACAGGUGCUGCAUGGCUGUCGUCAGCUCGUGUUGUGAAAUGUUGGGUUAAGUCCCGCAACGAGCGCAACCCUUAUCCUUUGUUGCCAGCGGUCCGGUCGGGAACUCAAAGGAGGCUGCCAGUGAUAAACUGGAGGAAGGUGGGGAUGACGUCAAGUCAUCAUGGCCCUUACGAGUAGGGCUACACACGUGCUACAAUGGCGCAUACAAAGAGAAGCGACCUCGCGAGAGCAAGCGGACCUCAUAAAGUGCGUCGUAGUCCGGAUUGGAGUCUGCAACUCGACUCCAUGAAGUCGGAAUCGCUAGUAAUCGUGGAUCAGAAUGCCACGGUGAAUACGUUCCCGGGCCUUGUACACACCGCCCGUCACACCAUGGGAGUGGGUUGCAAAAGAAGUAGGUAGCUUAACCUUCGGGAGGGCGCUUACCACUUUGUGAUUCAUGACUGGGGUGAAGUCGUAACAAGGUAAGCGUAGUGCU
rnacentral:rRNA from 1 species